CAUCAAUAUAUCAAGCAUUAUAUGUCAUGCACAAUAUAUUAUAAGGAGAUGCAAGGGAGAGGAGUGCACUUACACGUAGCACGCAUAUAAAAAGCAUUGUAACGAAGAGAACCGUUUGUGUGUGAGAGAUCAAAGCAUGGAGAUGAUGCAUUUGCAAUUGCAGAGAUCUCUAUAAUGGUUCCAAAAAUGGCGUCAUCGGUCACAAGCUCGAGUCUCGAAGACUUGUAGGUCUUCAAAUCGUCCAACCUCACACUGGCUUCUUGCAUUGAUAUAAAUGGGAAUUGGCAUGCUGGGGUCAUGGCAGUCGCUUGCACCGCCGUUUACUCCACUGGUCACCAUUUAAUUGAAGAAGUAGAGAUAGAGGCAAAAGUCAAAGGGCACGAAGGAAAGCUUACGUCAGUAGUGGUGAAGGUUCGAAACAAACCCAAAAAUGGACAGUUACUAGCAAUUGGUACUCAAUAGGCGGUUGCUAAUGACUAUAAAUCACCUCAGCCUCCACCUAAGCUUUAAAUUUAGAAUUAAAUAGGGAUAGUAUUUAUUAUAAAAAAGAAAAAGAUAAAGCAAUUUUCCAAACGUCUUAUUUGAUCCUAAAUUUAUUGGAGAUCAAUUUCCGAGAGGGAUCAUCUGAAACAUUUAAAG